rnacentral:rRNA from 1 species
UCGGAUUAGCUAGUUGGUGAGGUAAUGGCUCACCAAGGCAACGAUCCGUAGCUGGUCUGAGAGGAUGAUCAGCCACAUCGGGACUGAGACACGGCCCGAACUCCUACGGGAGGCAGCAGUGGGGAAUAUUGGACAAUGGGCGAAAGCCUGAUCCAGCCAUGCCGCGUGUGUGAAGAAGGCCUUCGGGUUGUAAAGCACUUUCAGCGAGGAAGAACGCCUAGUGGUUAAUACCCAUUAGGAAAGACAUCACUCGCAGAAGAAGCACCGGCUAACUCCGUGCCAGCAGCCGCGGUAAUACGGAGGGUGCAAGCGUUAAUCGGAAUUACUGGGCGUAAAGCGCGCGUAGGUGGCUUGAUAAGCCGGUUGUGAAAGCCCCGGGCUCAACCUGGGAACGGCAUCCGGAACUGUCAAGCUAGAGUGCAGGAGAGGAAGGUAGAAUUCCCGGUGUAGCGGUGAAAUGCGUAGAGAUCGGGANNGGAAUACCAGUGGCGAAGGCGGCCUUCUGGACUGACACUGACACUGAGGUGCGAAAGCGUGGGUAGCAAACAGGAUUAGAUACCCUGGUAGUCCACGCCGUAAACGAUGUCGACCAGCCGUUGGGUGCCUAGCGCACUUUGUGGCGAAGUUAACGCGAUAAGUCGACCNGCNCUGGGGAGUACGGCCGCAAGGUUAAAACUCAAAUGAAUUGACGGGGGCCCGCACAAGCGGUGGAGCAUGUGGUUUAAUUCGAUGCAACGCGAAGAACCUUACCUACUCUUGACAUCCUGCGAACUUGUGAGAGAUCACUUGGUGCCUUCGGGAACGCAGAGACAGGUGCUGCAUGGCUGUCGUCAGCUCGUGUUGUGAAAUGUUGGGUUAAGUCCCGUAACGAGCGCAACCCUUGUCCUUAUUUGCCAGCGGGUAAUGCCGGGAACUCUAAGGAGACUGCCGGUGACAAACCGGAGGAAGGUGGGGACGACGUCAAGUCAUCAUGGCCCUUACGAGUAGGGCUACACACGUGCUACAAUGGCCGGUA